UCCUUCAUCUCUCAAAAUCACGUUCUCUCCAAAAUCGCUUAUCUCCAAAAUCGCUUUUCUCCAGAAUUGGCUUCGAUCUCUCCAUAAUUGCUUCUCGAUUCAGAAUCGCAGAAUUUCAGAAUCGCUUCUCGAUCCAUAAUCGCAACUCGAUCUCACACCAGAAUCACUUCGUCGGAAUCGCUUCGUCACUUCGUCAAAAUCACUUCGUCGGAAUCAUUUCCUCGAUCUCACAUCAUCCUUGCUUCGUCAGAAUCGCUUCCUCACAUCAUCUCAAAAUCACAUUCUAAUUCACUCAGAAUCACUUGCUUUAUCUGAUUCGCUUCCUCAAAACCUAGAGACUAUUAAGUUACUUCUCACUCCUAUUUUCUCUGUUCUGGUAAUCGAUUUCUUCUAAUUUUUUCUCUUUUGUGAUUUAUCAACUCAAUUUCUUGUUUUGAAUUUUGAUUUUGAUUUUGAUUUGAUGCUUGUGUGUGUAAGUAAAUGGAAUGUGAUAUAUA
rnacentral:lncRNA from 1 species